CAGUAGCCGCGGUAAUACGGAGGGUGCAAGCGUUAAUCGGAAUUACUGGGCGUAAAGCGUGCGUAGGUGGUGGUUUAAGUCCGUUGUGAAAGCCCUGGGCUCAACCUGGGAAUUGCAGUGGAUACUGGGUCACUAGAGUGUGGUAGAGGAUAGUGGAAUUUCCGGUGUAGCAGUGAAAUGCGUAGAGAUCGGAAGGAACAUCUGUGGCGAAGGCGACUAUCUGGGCCAACACUGACACUGAGGCACGAAAGCGUGGGGAGCAAACAGGAUUAGAUACCCCGGUAGUCCCUGUCUCUUAUAC
rnacentral:rRNA from 1 species